AUUGAACGCUGGCGGCAUGCCUUACACAUGCAAGUCGAACGGUAACAGGUCUUCGGAUGCUGCCGAGUGGCGAACGGGUGAGUAAUACAUCGGAACGUGCCCGAUCGUGGGGGAUAACGAAGCGAAAGCUUUGCUAAUACCGCAUACGAUCUACGGAUGAAAUCCGGGGACCGCAAGGCCUUGCGCGAACGGAGCGGCCGAUGGCAGAUUAGGUAGUUGGUGGGAUAAAAGCUUACCAAGCCGACGAUCUGUAGCUGGUCUGAGAGGACGACCAGCCACACUGGGACUGAGACACGGCCCAGACUCCUACGGGAGGCAGCAGUGGGGAAUUUUGGACAAUGGGCGAAAGCCUGAUCCAGUCAUGCCGCGUGCAGGAUGAAGGCCUUCGGGUUGUAAACUGCUUUUGUACGGAACGAAAAGACUCUGGUUAAUACCUGGGGUCCAUGACGGUACCGUAAGAAUAAGCACCGGCUAACUACGUG
rnacentral:rRNA from 1 species